rnacentral:misc_RNA from 1 species
UAUUCUCACACUUCCGAUCUUUGGGUUGGGAGCGGUGGACUUGGGUUUGCUGCUUCACCGUGGCUCACCUCAAAUAGGUUAGUGCAGCUCUUGGUUGGACAUAGUACGGCGUGAUAAGUGUUUUUCGCCGGUGCCUCGCAAAGAGGGUGGCCGAUCGGGAUGUUGUGCUCCAAACCGUCUUCGGACAAUCUCUGACG